UACAGAGGAGCCAAGCGUUGUCCGGAUUGACUGGGCGUAAAGCGCGCGCAGGCGGCACCGCGCGUGGGGUGUGAAAUCUGGCCGCUUAACGGCCAGGCGCCAUCCCAUACGGCGGAGCUGGAGUGAUGCAGAGGUCGGUGGAAUUGCCGGUGUAGUGGUGAAAUGCGUAGAGAUCGGUAGGAACACCAGUGGCGAAGGCGGUCUCCUGGGGCAUACUUGACGCUGAGGCGCGAAAGCUGGGGGAGCGAACGGG
rnacentral:rRNA from 1 species